UACGUAGGGGGCAAGCGUUGUCCGGAUUUACUGGGCGUAAAGAGCGCGCAGGCGGUCGUUCAAGUCGCGUGUGAAAGCCCCCGGCUACAACUGGGGAGGGUCACGCCGAUACUGAUCGACUCGAAGGCAGGAGAGGGUAGUGGAAUUCCCGGUGUGAGUGGUGAAAUGCGUAGAGUAUCGGGAGGAACACCUGCGGCGAAGGCGGGUUGCUGGCUGACACUGACGCUGAGUGCGCGAAGCCAGGGGAGCGAACGGG
rnacentral:rRNA from 1 species